rnacentral:lncRNA from 1 species
UAUUUUAAUAUUUCUUAUUAGCAUUCUCCUUAACAUCUGAGCCCCAGACUUCUAAUUUGAACUCAAAAUUUUCUACUCAAAUAUCACAUAAAACAACUAAUUUUCUAUAUAUAAACUUAAGCUUCCAAUUAACUACAAGAAAAUCACAUUAUAACGACAUCUUCUAGACAAUCCUUGUAGAAAAUGUCCUUACAAAAUAGCAAAUACCGGCAUUCAAAAAGUGUCAUCAUAUGAACAGUUUAUUCUGUCAAACUGAUUUACUGAAGAAUAAACUUUACUAUUAUUUUUAAUUCUCUACUUUUCAAAAAAUUCAGACAUUUUAAAAUAUAGAAAUAUAUUUUACCAAUAUUUGGCAUAAGCAUCGGUAUAUAAUUAAGUGGCAACUUCUCAUUUGUCGACACUUUCAAAUGUGACAGUAGACUAUUCUGCAACACUUUUAACCAUCCAUAAAUGCCGAAAAAGAUCCUUUUCUGCGUUUGGUUCGGGUAUAAGUAAGAACUGCUAGUUCUAGGGAUAGGUACAAGUUCAGGUAUAAGCAGGAACUAGACCAAUUUUACGUUUGGAUGAAAAUUGGGUUGUUUCUAGAAAUAAGGUAAAUAGUGUUUGGAUGAUUAGAGUGGAAAAAGAGGAAUAAGUGUUAUAAUUUGAAAUUAAAAUUAUAUUAUGUAAUUAAUUAACAUAAAAAUAUUACUUAAAAUAAAUAAAAAAUUAAUUAUAAAUAAUAAUUAAAUUAAUAAUAAUUAAUUAUAANCUAUU